rnacentral:rRNA from 1 species
GACGAACGCUGGCGGCGUUCUUAACACAUGCAAGUCGAACGGAAAGGCCCUGCUUUUGUUGGUUGCUCGAGUGGCGAACGGGUGAGUAACACGUGAGUAACCUGCCCUUGACUUUGGUAUAACUUCAGGCAACUGGGGCUAAUACCGGAUAGGAGCUCCUGCUGCAUGGUGGGGGUUGGAAAGUUUCGGCGGUUGGGGAUGGACUCGCGGCUUAUCAGCUUGUUGGUGGGGUAGUGGCUUACCAAGGCUUUGACGGGUAGCCGGCCUGAGAGGGUGACCGGCCACAUUGGGACUGAGAUACGGACCAGACUCCUACGGGAGGCAGCAGUGGGGAAUAUUGCACAAUGGGCGGAAGCCUGAUGCAGCAACGCCGCGUGCGGGAUGACGGCCUUCGGGUUGUAAACCGCUUUCGCCUGUGACGAAGCGUGAGUGACGGUAGUGGGUAAAGAAGCACCGGCUAACUAAGUG